AAAUGACUGCCUUAUCAGUAUUUCUCAAAUUAUGCAAUUUUUGGCUUAGACACAGCAUGGUAUCAGAUAAGAGAAUAGCCAGUCCCUAUCAGUCCUCCAUCUAAGCCUAACUAAGGGGUGUUGAUAUACUUUUGAUUUGUUCAGGCACCAUCUAUUUGAGAACCACAGAUAGGAAGUUAUUUUUUGAAAACAAGCAGCAUCAGCAACUGACUUUAAGCUAGAAUUAAGACUUAUUAUUCUAGUGUAAAAUGUCUUGAAAUACUUUCAGCAUGAAGUAUUGUGUGAUGAAAAAAAUGUGUAUUUACUACAAUGUGUAAAUCAACAAUAAAGGAGAUUAAAAGUGGGUGGUUAAAGACAUAUAAAGUGAUAUGGUCUAGUUCAACAACUGCCUGUAUUUUUGGAAUACUGAAGAACAGUCUGUUGUAACAGGUUAAACCCCAUGGAAAGAAUGUGCAUCAUCGCAUCGCCUGCCAAAAAAGGGAGCAAAAGAGAGACUACCUGAUGUAUGGACUUGAAUACCAGGUUUUACCCUGCACAAGCUGACCGACAUGAGGAGAACAGGAGUGGGAAAACCGCGCCCUCUCCUUGACCAAGAAAAGCUGGAUUUGUUUAGAGGACCUGAUCAAAUGAGAUCAUGCACGAGACGCAUCGCGCAAAGGCCAUGACAGUAUAAUAGUUGCAAAGAAGUUUGACCGGCUGGUGGCAGACUUGGAGAGAAAGAUGAGAGCUGCACUCCGCUGCCUCAAAGAAAUGCUGAAAGGCCUUGAUUGAUAUGCAUCUUUCUUAUGUAUAUAGCUGUUCGUGUGUAUAUACUGUACAUGUUAUUAUAGUAUGCUAUUAUUUUUUGUUUAUUUAUAAUCAAAUUAUGUUUAUAUUUAUUUCAUCAAAUUGCCAUUGAUAUUUAAUUACUCAUGUAUGUUAAAAAAUGUUGGUGUACAUUAAAGUAUAAAAUUGAA